UCUGGCGGCGUCGAGCAUCUCCUCGUCGUCUUUCCCCUCCGUUUCCUUCCCUUCCCUUCAUAAGUGGGUCUCUACCCGUGGUCCCCACUCCACCCGGCUCCCUACGCGCACCGGCUGCCCUUGCGCCCAGCCCAGCCGGACCCUCUCCAUGGCCACAGGCGACUACCGGUGCAACAGGACCCUUAGGCUCGAAGCAGGCCAGUCGGUGCUGCCCGGCUCAUUACUCUUCGCGGCGGGGCUGCUGGGCAACGUGUUGGCGUUGGGGCUGCUGUGGCAGCACCAUCUGAAGGCAAAGUUGCAGCGCGGCGAGGGGCGCCCGCGGGCGUCCGCCUUCUAUCUUCUGGUGAGCACCCUGGCCGCCACGGACCUGCUGGGCAAGUGUUUGCUGAGCCCGAUCGUGCUGGCCGCCUAUGCUCACAAUCGCAGUCUCAUCGACCUGUGGCCUCCCGCCGCCGCCCCCGAAGUCAGCCACCCCGGGGAGGAAGCGACCCGCUCCCCCGGCACGCUGUGUCAGAUGUUCGCGUUCCUCAUGGCUUUCUUCGGCUUAGCGUCCACCACGCUGCUGCUGGCCAUGGCCCUGGAGUGCUGGCUCUCGCUCGGCCAGCCUUACUUCUACGAACACCACACCAGCCGGCGUUGGGGCGCGCUGCUCACCGGCACGGCGGCCGUCCUCUGCGCGCUCUUCUGCGCCCUGCCGUUCCUGGGCUUCGGCAGCAAUGUUCAGUACUGUCCGGGCACGUGGUGCUUCAUUCGCAUGGCCGGCGGCGGACGGCUCUAUUCGGUGCUCUACGCGACCCUGCUGGGCUUGCUGGUGCUGGCCGUGGGCCUGUGCAAUCUGGGCAGCAUGAGGAGCCUCUAUCGGAUGGCCCGUCGGCAGCCCCCGCGCAGGACCCACCUGAUUGACCCGCAGGGCGCAGCCGCCCCUGCCAGACUCCCUUCCUCCGGGCGCACCGAGGAGCUGGGACAGUUGGUCUUGCUGGCGCUCAUGACCGCCCUUUUCACCAUCUGCUCCCUGCCGUUGAUCAUCCGAGCUUACAUUGGAGCUUUUGCCCCUGAUGCAAAUGAGGCAGCCGAUCUUACAGCCCUCCGUUUUUUCUCUGUCAAUUCCAUUGUGGAUCCCUGGGUCUUCAUCAUUUUUCGGACAUCCAUAUUUCGCAGUUUGCUCCAGCGGUUUUCUAGGAGGCUGAGUUUGAAGAAGGAUCUGCAUUUCCAGGAUCAGCUCUUGGGAACUUGGCAGAGGAAAGAAUCCAAUGAAAUACGAUAAAUGGGCUGGAGCUGGAAAUGAACUGGACUUCUUCUUGGGGCACCUCCUGGUCUUCAGAGCCAAAGUAUUACAAGUCAACGUUUAUUAAGGUUGAAAAGAGGGACCAAGGUGACUCUGUGAUACUGGCUGGAGCUUCAUUGGUAGACUCUGUUCUGGAUUUGGUGCUUCUUGAAAAACCCAAGAUGCAGUUGUCACAGGACUCAUUCACAUUACAGUGACAAUUUACUUGACCGGUGGGAUCCAUUUGCACAGAAGCAUUUAAAAAUGCAUUUUUAAGUCCAAAUAUUCUACCAGUGAUACUGGCCACUUUGAGUUCCAAUUACCUUUCCUACCAACAAAUUUUAUUUGCAUGCUGCAAAUAUAUGGUUUAAAUGAUUAAAAGGUGAGAAGGAGAAGAGGAAUUUUUUCUGAAUGUGUGAACCCCUCCCCAAGCAUGGGAGCUGAUACUAAAUGACCAACCAUGGAAUCAUGGAAGACAGCUAAUUGCCAGAAUUUGGGCUGCACAGAUGAUCAUCAUGGAUCUGCUAUUGUUCCACUUGGUCAAAAUUCAUUUUCCGCAACAAAAAUUGAAUUCCAGGUAGACCUGUAAAAGAUUGCACUGAACAAUGUCAAAGAGAUUGCAGAAUUAUUUCCUUUCAGCCUGCCAUUACAGUUAAAACACAUGGGUUUCAACUUAAUAUAAACAAAAUCUAUGAUUUUUCCACACAAUUCAUUACUGUGAUUAAAAGAAAAAGAAUUAAGACACAUACAAAGCCUACAGUGACACCUCUGGAUUUCCUGGUCACAUCUGUCUGGACAUUGUUGGUUGAGUGUUAUAUUAAUCUUUAGUGGCUUAUUAUAUUUUUCUCCACUGAUCCUGUGCAAUGAAACAGUUAUGGUCAGCCUUUGAUAUUUCUGCAGCUCAGAUAUUAUGGAGAUAUUCUCUGAAAAAAGAGCAAGAAAGUGUUUAGUUUUUAGCUAUUUUUAUAGUGUGUGUAAACUAGAAUACAGGUAUAUUCCAGAAUUCUGCUAAAUGUUUGUUUCUAGAAAAUAUAUGCGUGCAUUUUUUAAUACUUACAGUCAUCUGAAAAGACUGAUCCAUGAUGUUCUGUAACUGAUAUUUUACUACUUUGCAUCCUCUAUUUAAUAAGAUGAGCCAAUGACUUAGUUUCUUUAACCAUUAUUCAUUCAAUUGAUUAUAGGGGCUGUGUGAGGUUUAAGUCAAAGCAAACAAAUUACAGGAUGAUUUAGCAAAAUGUGUGACCCAACCAGAGAAUUUUGCAAGUUUAGAUAUUUAAUGUUUAGCCUCCUGUAAGAACAUUCCAGAUUUUGCUAAAUGUCUAAUAAUAAAGAAUGCAUCUUGCUGCUAACUUAUUGGAGGCAACCCAAUGCUUAAGCAUGCAAAAUGUUCUAGGUUUGAUCCGGCAGUUGCACAUAACUG